AUUUAAAAAGAAAGUAAACCUAUUCAACUUAAAAAUUUCAUACAUUUUUCCAUCUACCUAUGGCCAAUUAUACCCCGCCAGAUUUUAUGACUUCUUAAAAAGUCUAGUUGUAAAAAUUGUUUAAGCAUUUUUCACACACGAACUCGUCGCAUGCAAAUUUUUAACGUGCAUCCCGAAAUUCGCUUGGAGCAGAACGAAUGCCUGAGACGUGCGUAGAGCGAAGCAGAAGAAGCAGAAGACUUUGGGUUAGGGUUCAAACAAAUUGCAUUUGCGGCUUGACUUGUCGCUAGGCAGACUGAGGCGGACUGAAGAGCAGCAAAAAAUGAAAGAAUUAACCGCGGCAUGAAUGAUAAUUAUUUUAUGGCGGAGGCUGCGGCACCCAGAAGGAAGUCGGCAAUCUAUGGAGAUGGGCGUAUUUUGCAUAAACAUAAUUUUUUA